GUCGGGCCUUUGAGGAAAUGCCUGAGGCUCCCGCGGGCAGAACGAGCUCAGCGAGCAAGCCGGAGUCCCGGCUGGACUCCGCGGUCAGAGAGCGCGGUGCGCACGCGGCGUCCCCCGGCAAGACACAAGGGCAGACUUCCGAGGGCCCGCGGGGGCGGAACCUGCCCUCACCGGCACGCGCCCCAAACGCUCACCUGAGUGGCCGGAAGACACAGAGGGCGUGGCAGGCACAUGAGGAAGUGCCCCGAGGAGCGAAGCCAUGGGGGCGUGCUCCCUGGGGUGCUGUCCGAGGCCUCGAGGCUGGGUGGCCCUACUGCCGAGCACUCCUGAAUCUGCACUUGGAAACCAGACAGCUGGGGCUCACAGCCAAGGGAGAGAGGAGCUCAUCUGCCCUCUGCAGCACCCCAUCCUUUCUCUUGGAGAGAAGCCCGCAGGUUCCCGUUUCUCAGAGCCACGCCUCCGCGCCGCCAGCACCGUGCCUUCUGCACGUCCUGUUUUAA
rnacentral:lncRNA from 1 species